AACGAACGCUGGCGGCAGGCCUAACACAUGCAAGUCGAGCGAAGCCUUCGGGCUUAGCGGCGGACGGGUGAGUAACGCGUGGGAACGUGCCCUUUGGUACGGAAUAGCCCCGGGAAACUGGGAGUAAUACCGUAUGUGGUCGAGAGACGAAAGAUUUAUCGCCAAAGGAUCGGCCCGCGUUGGAUUAGGUAGUUGGUGGGGUAAUGGCCUACCAAGCCGACGAUCGAUAGCUGGUUUGAGAGGAUGAUCAGCCACACUGGGACUGAGACACGGCCCAGACUCCUACGGGAGGCAGCAGUGGGGAAUCUUAGACAAUGGGGGAAACCCUGAUCUAGCCAUGCCGCGUGAUCGAUGAAGGCCUUAGGGUUGUAAAGAUCUUUCAGUGGGGAAGAUAAUGACUGUACCCACAGAAGAAGCCCCGGCUAACUCCGUGCCAGCCGCCGCGGUAAAAC
rnacentral:rRNA from 1 species